CUACGGUCUCAGUUCAGAUUGCAGGCUGCAACUCGCCUGCAUGAAGUUGGGAUUGCUAGUAAUCGCGAAUCAGAAUGUCGCGGUGAAUACGUUCCCGGGCCCUUGUACACACCGCCCGUCACACCAUGAGAGUCGAUAACACCCGAAGCCUGUGAGCUAACCUUUUAGGAGGCAGCAGUCGAAGGUGGGGUUGAUGAUUGGGGUGAAGUCGUAACAAGGUACC
rnacentral:rRNA from 1 species